rnacentral:RNase_P_RNA from 1 species
GCGGAUGGCCGGAUGACCGCGGGGGCCGCAAGGUCCACGAGGAAAGUCCGGACUCCGGAAAGCACGGUGCCGGGUAACGCCCGGCCGGGGAAACCCGAGGGAAAGCGCCACAGAGAACAGACUACCCGUCGGACCGGAGGUUCGCCAAAGGAGCAUCCGGCGGGAAAAGGUGAAACGGUGGGGUAAGAGCCCACCGCGGGACGGGCAACCGGACCGGCACGGCAAGCCCCACCGGGAGCAAUGCCAAAUAGGGACCCCGCGCCGGCAACGGCAGGCGCGCUUCCGCCCAGGGGUCCGGGUUGGCAGCUAGAGGCGCGUCGGCAACGGCGGGCCAAGAGGAAUGGUCAUCCAGGGGGAGCGAUCCUCCGGACAGAAUCCGGCUUACAGGCCAUCCGCGCAU